UUUAUUGGCAGACUAUUGCAUUAGAGUUAGAAUCUAAUCAACC
rnacentral:tRNA from 1 species